rnacentral:lncRNA from 1 species
UGGAUUCAUUCUUAGAAUUCCUUUUAAUUGUUGGAAGCUUAGCUUGCUUGUAUCGCGCAUCUAGAGAUUUUUCCGUGGAUACUCUGAUUAAAUAGGAUAUGUCACUUUGCUCAUUGUUUGAAUUUUCAGACUUCAAAUUAUCAAUCUGACGCCACAAACAAUUGGGGAUACUGAAAUGUACCUCCACGCAAAACAGUAUUUGUUUUGAUCAAAACAGAGCCGCAGGUGGUGGUAGGGUGUCUUUGAGGUUCUAUCACAUGAUGCUGAUUAAUGGUGUUACAAGAGGUGUAAAAAAUAUAUUAUGUUUGGUCUUGUGAAGUUUCUUUUGUUGUUUCAGAGUUGAAUGUGAUACUACUUGGCAUGACAAAAUCAAGGUUAAGAAAAUGAAUUGGAAGAAAGAAGACACAGGAGUUUUAUUCCAUACUAAAUAGAAAAACUGCCAGACAUAUAUCACCUGUUGUUUUUGAGACGAAUUUUGGGGAACAAUUAACUAUUUGAUGUUACAAAUUAAAUAACACCUCCACUUUCCCAUGUGUGUCUGUUAGGGGAAAAAGCAUAAUGAAGUCAUUGUACGUUGUAGGAGUGUACUAACAUGCUUCAGGAUAUACCUACUAAUAAGUUGUAAACUAAUUCUUGGUGUCUGGUGUUUUGGAUCUUUACAAUUAUCCCAAU